rnacentral:rRNA from 2 species
CGGCGAGUGAAGCGGCAAUAGCUCAAAUUUGAAAGCUGGCGCCUUCGGCGUCCGCGUUGUAAUUUGUAGAGGAUGCUUCGGCGAGGACUCCUGCCUAAGUUCCCUGGAAUGGGACGUCACAGAGGGUGAGAAUCCCGUAUGUGGCGGGCGGUCCAAGCCAUGUGAAGCUCCUUCGACGAGUCGAGUUGUUUGGGAAUGCAGCUCUAAAUGGGAGGUAAAUUUCUUCUAAAGCUAAAUACCGGCCAGAGACCGAUAGCGCACAAGUAGAGUGAUCGAAAGAUGAAAAGCACUUUGGAAAGAGAGUUAAAAAGUACGUGAAAUUGUUGAAAGGGAAGCGCUUGCAACCAGACUCGCUCGCAGUUGCUCAGCCCGCCUCUUGGUGGGUGUACUCUUCUGCGAUCGGGCCAGCAUCAGUUCGGGCGGCCGGAUAAAGGUGUCGGGAAUGUAGCACCCUUCGGGGUGUGUUAUAGCCCGGCGCGGAAUGCGGCCAGCCUGGACUGAGGAUCUCGCUUCGGCAAGGAUGCUGGCGUAAUGGUUGUAAGCGGCCCGUCUUGAAACACGGACCAAGGAGUCUAACAUCUAUGCGAGUGUUUGGGUGUCAAACCCAUGCGCGUAAUGAAAGUGAACGGAGGUGGGAACCCGCAAGGGUGCACCAUCGACCGAUCCUGAUGUCUUCGGAUGGAUUUGAGUAAGAGCAUAGCUGUUGGGACCCGAAAGAUGGUGAACUAUGCCUGAAUAGGGUGAAGCCAGAGGAAACUCUG